rnacentral:rRNA from 1 species
GAUGAACGCUGGCGGCGUGCCUAAUACAUGCAAGUCGAGCGAACAGACGAGGAUCUUGCUCCUCUGACGUUAGCCGCGGACGGGUGAGUAACACGUGGAUAAUCCACCUAUAAGACUGGGAUAACUUCGGGAAACCGGCGCUAAUACCGGAUAAUAUCUUGAACCGCAUGGUUCGAUAGUGAAAGACGGCUUUGCUGUCACUUAUAGAUGGAUCCGCGCCGCAUUAGCUAGUUGGUAAGUUAACGGCUUACCACGGCAACGAGGCGUAGCCGAGCUGAGAGAGGGAUCGGCCACACGGGAGCUGAGCCACGGUCCAGACGCCUAAGGGAGGGAGCAGUAGGGAAUGUUACGCAACGGGCGAAAGCAUGACGCAGCAAGGCCGCGUGAGUGAUGAAGGUCUUCGGAUCGUAAAGCUCUGUUAUUAGGGAAGAACCAAUGUGUAAGUAGCUAUGCACGGAUUGACGGUACCUGAUCAGAAAGCACCGGCUAACUACGUG